CGGUCAGCUUCCGAGAUGGCAGAGAGAAGGGGUUAAGAGCAGGCACAGCGAGGAGCUUCUCGUAGGUCAAACGGUUCUAUUCUCCACAUUGAAAUAAUUCAACCAGAAGGUACUUGAUGUAAACUGGGUUUUCCCGCCUCCAUGAGCGCUCACAGCUGUCUCCAGGCGCCAGGGACACCGCGCUCCGCACUGCCCUGUGGACUUGGACGCAGCCUGAAGCCUGGGGUGACUCAAGAGGAAGUCGAGUGUCAUCUGCCGCACCCUUUCCUAUGCACGGUGCGCCCACUGCGUCUACGUUCCGUGUCUUGCGGCUUUUUGCUCAGCACGUCCACGUUGCCCUCUCCUCCGUGUUCUCGCACAAUUCCUCAAGCUCCUCCUCUGGCUCACUAAUGCGAUUUCCUGUCAAUUCCAGCCUGUUCUUUGACGCCCCUGUUGCUUCUCCAGAUGUGUUCUUCCUCUAAGUAAUAUAUCCACUAAUGGGGCACCUGGGUGGUUCAGUCAGUCAACCAACCGACUCUUGAUUUCGGCUCAGGUCAUGAUCUCGUGGUCUGUGAGUUCAAGCCCCGCAUCAGGCUCUGUGCUG